GUCGAGCGAACAGACGAGGAGCUUGCUCCUCUGACGUUAGCGGCGGACGGGUGAGUAACACGUGGAUAACCUACCUAUAAGACUGGGAUAACUUCGGGAAACCGGAGCUAAUACCGGAUAAUAUAUUGAACCGCAUGGUUCAAUAGUGAAAGACGGUUUUGCUGUCACUUAUAGAUGGAUCCGCGCCGCAUUAGCUAGUUGGUAAGGUAACGGCUUACCAAGGCAACGAUGCGUAGCCGACCUGAGAGGGUGAUCGGCCACACUGGAACUGAGACACGGUCCAGACUCCUACGGGAGGCAGCAGUAGGGAAUCUUCCGCAAUGGGCGAAAGCCUGACGGAGCAACGCCGCGUGAGUGACGAAGGUCUUCGGAACGUAAAACUCUGUUAUUAGGGAAGAACAAAUGUGUAAGUAACUAUGCACGUCUUGACGGUACCUAAUCAGAAAGCCACGGCUAACUACGUGCCAGCAGCCGCGGUAAUACGUAGGUGGCAAGCGUUAUCCGGAAUUAUUGGGCGUAAAGCGCGCGUAGGCGGUUUUUUAAGUCUGAUGUGAAAGCCCACGGCUCAACCGUGGAGGGUCAUUGGAAACUGGAAAACUUGAGUGCAGAAGAGGAAAGUGGAAUUCCAUGUGUAGCGGUGAAAUGCGCAGAGAUAUGGAGGAACACCAGUGGCGAAGGCGACUUUCUGGUCUGUAACUGACGCUGAUGUGCGAAAGCGUGGGG
rnacentral:rRNA from 1 species